CGAGCGGGAAAUGAUGGGGCACCUAACGAGCACGCAGAGCAUGAUGGGGCACGGGUGCGAGGUGGGGCGCACAGUGGGAGCGCGUGGGGCAUGAUGGGACACAUGGCGAGGCCGUCAGGGCACAGGGGAAGCACUUUUGGAACACGUGAGUGACAGGGCUGCCGCCCUUGAAGGAGCCCUCGGAGUGGCUGCGUGGUGGGGCACGUGGGGCAGGUUCAGGAAAAAGGAUGCAGCAUGUGAUUGCAGGGCAACCUGGUGAGGACACGAGAGCCACCUGCCACCAGCAGGGUUCAGGGCUCCCAGCUGUGGGUUACUUCCACCUUCUUUCACUUUCCCUCUUCCAUUGUAUUCUAGAGAAUUUAGGCCCAGACAAGACACUGAUUGAUUGAUUGAUUGAUCGAUUGACAGAGGCUCGCUCUGAGCCCAGGCUGGAGUUCAGUGAUGGAUCUCAGCUCACUGCAGCCGCCACCUCCUGGGCUCAAGAGAUCCUCCUGCCUCGGCCUCCCAAGUAGCUGGGAUUACAGACGUGCACCACCAGGCCCAGCUAAUUUAUUUUUUAGUUUUUAAUUUGCUGGUAAGAUGGUUUGUAGCUUUGUUGCCUAGGCUGGUCUUGAACUCCUGGCUUCAAGCGAUCCUCCAGUCUUGACCUCCCAAAGUGCUGGGAUUAUAGGCGUAGGCUACAGCCAACUUUCAAUACUGCCCCAUUGGGGGUUACGUUUCCAACACAUGAAAUUAGGAGGAUACAUUCAAACCACAGCAGUAUAUUAUGACCAUAAUAUUCAUUAACUGUGUAACAGGCUGGGCGCGGUGGCUCACACCUGUAAUCCCAGCACUUUGGGAGACCAGAGUGGGUAGAUCACUCGAGGUCAGGAGUUUGAGACCAGCCUGGCCCACAUGAUGAAACCGCCUCUCUACUAAAAAUACAAAAAAUUAGCCGGUGUGGUGGCAGGCGCCUGUAACCUCAGCUACUUGGGAGGCUGAGGCAGGAGAAUCACUUGAAUCCGGGAGGUGGAGGUGGCAGUGAGCCUGAUUGCACCACUGCACUCCAGCCUGGGCAACAAGAGCAAAACUCUGUCUCAAUAAACAAACAAACAAACAAAACCUGUAUAACAGAGUGUCAUUGAAUUUCUAAACGUUGAAAGACUUCACAUUAAAAAAAAACUCACAAUUUAAUAUUAUUGAGUGAAAGAAACCAGACACAAAAGGGUACAUUCUAUAUGAUGCUGUUUAUGUGACAUUCAAAAACAGGCCACAUGACAACAUGGUAAUAAGGACAGUGGCUGUCCUUGUUAGGAGUUAUGACUGGAAGGAGGCAGGAGGGAGCUUUCUGGAAACACUGUACAUCUUGCUCUUGAGAGUGCACGUAUAUACAUCAAGUGUUUAUCAAGCUGUGUGGUUAAGAUUUGCACACUUGUAUAUGUUAUACCUCGAUUUAAAAAAUCUAAAUAAGUAAAUAAAGAUACCUUCAAAUCUUUAAAAAAAAAAAAAAAAAGAGGCCAGGUUCGGCGGCUCACACCUGUAAUCCCAGCACUUUGGGAGGCUGAGGUAGGAGGAUUGCUUGAGGCCAGGAGUUCAAAACCAGCCCAGGCAACAAAGUGAGACCCCUGUCUCUACUAAAGUAAAUAAAACAAUAAAAUAAAAAAAAAAAUUC
rnacentral:lncRNA from 10 species